rnacentral:rRNA from 1 species
CCAAAAACGCAGAUAAAAUUCACUAGCUAAACCAUCAGGCCAGCAGCCUUGUUAUGCUUUAAUUGAAAAAUGGCAGCAUUACUUCUUAAUUGCACUAUGAACAUCUUAUCUAAUAACUCUCGGGUCCUAAGUAAACAUGUACAUUAGAUUCUGCAGGACCAAAAAGAUUCUUGUAAAAAUAGGUAGUGAAAAUAAACAUCUGCCUCUCCCCUCAAAUAACCUCUUCCUCUUUGAGAUUCCGCAAAAUCAUGCUGAGAAUAGCUAGGAUUUUGAGAGAUUCAAAUAGACCAUUAUGUUUUGAUAAUAUAAUACUUCCUCCGUUUCUAAAUAUAAGUCUUUUUAGAUAUUUCAAGAUGGACUACAUGGAGAGCAAAAUAAGUGAAUAUACACUCUAAAAUAUGUCUGUAUACAUUGGUUUGUAGUCCGUAUUGAAAUUGCUAAAAAGGCUUAUAUUUAGAAACGGAGACAUUGAUAGAUAGCUGAAAAGUGAAGUAUCCAGAAUACUAUCAGUACCUGCGAUGAUCGAGUUCCAUCAAAUUACUGUCAGAAAAAACCUUGAGAUGGAGAGGUUUUAAUUAGCUGCUAGUACAAUGGCGCCAUGCUGGAGUGGUAGCCGAAGACGACGAAGUCGUCGUGCUUCUCCCUGCCGACCAGUUCCGCCACCGUGGCCGUGGCGUCGGUACGCAUGUCGUACCGCAACACCUCGCGACGCCACACAUUCUCGUUGUCAACACCACCACCCACGCCGUGGCCGCGGCGCUGCCUGUACCCGAUCCGCAUCGCCAGGCCCAAGACCUCGUCCGCGCCGACGUCCACUCCCGCCGGCACCACCGACCACAGGAAGCGCGACGCGGGGGGCGCCAUGCCAGGGAUUUCAUCCCAGCUCCUUGUCAGCCCAGAACUACUCGCUAGCACU